AAUAGAUACCCGGUAGUCCACGCCCUAAACGAUGUCUACUAGUUGUUGGUGGAGUAAAAUCCAUUAGUAACGCAGCUAACGCGUGAAGUAGACCGCCUGGGGAGUACGGUCGCAAGAUUAAAACUCAAAGGAAUUGACGGGGGCCCGCACAAGCGGUGGAUUAUGUGGAUUAAUUCGAUGCAACGCGAAAAACCUUACCUGGCCUUGACAUGCCACUAACGAAGCAGAGAUGCAUUAGGUGCCCGAAAGGGAAAGUGGACACAGGUGCUGCAUGGCUGUCGUCAGCUCGUGUCGCGAGAUGUUGGGUUAAGUCCCGCAACGAGCGCAACCCUUGCCAAUAAUUGCCAUCAUUCAGUUGGGCACUUUAUUGGGACUGCCGGUGACAAACCGGAGGAAGGUGGGGAUGACGUCAAGUCCUCAUGGCCCUUAUGGCCAGGGCUUCACACGUAAUACAAUGGUCGGUACAGAGGGUAGCCAAGCCGCGAGGUGGAGCCAAUCCCAGAAAGCCGAUCGUAGUCCGGAUUGCAGU
rnacentral:rRNA from 1 species